UUCGCAAUGCCCGAAAGGGUGACGAUGCGACGCCGCGUGAGCGAAGAAGGCCCUAGGGUUGUAAAGCUCUGUCGAGGGUUAUGAAAUAUAGAUGGGUUAAUACCCCAUUUAUUUGACAAAAGCCCAAAAGGAAGCCACGGCUAACUCUGUGCCAGCAGCCGCGGUAAUACAGAGGUGGCGAGCGUUGUUCGGUAUUAUUGGGCGUAAAGAGCACGUAGGUGGUUUGUAAGUCAGGUGUGAAAGCCUUCUGUUCAAAGGAAGAACGGCAUCUGAAACUGCAGAUCUUGAGUGUAGGAGGGGAGAGUGGAACUUCUGGUGGAGCGGUGAAAUGCGUAGAUAUCAGAAGGAACGUCGGCGGCGAAAGCGACUCUCUGGCCUAUUACUGACACUGAGGUGCGAAAGUUAGGGGAGUAAACGGGAUUAGAUACCCCGGUAGUCCUAACCGUAAACGAUGGGCACUAAGUAGAGGGGUUUU
rnacentral:rRNA from 1 species